rnacentral:rRNA from 1 species
UGGGCUCGAACGGCUUUGGACGGCUGGCGGAAACGCCGGCUUUCCCGCAAGGGACCGGAGUCGAGGUGCUGCAUGGCUGUCGUCAGCUCGUGUCGUGAGAUGUUGGGUUAAGUCCCGCAACGAGCGCAACCCUCGUCCUGUGUUGCAACCCCCGCAAGGGGGGCACUCGCAGGAGACCGCCAGCGAUAAGUUGGAGGAAGGUGGGGAUGACGUCAAGUCAUCAUGGCCUUUAUGUCCAGGGCUACACACGUGCUACAAUGGGCGGUACAAAGCGCAGCAAACCCGCGAGGGGGAGCAAAUCGCCAAAAACCGUCCUCAGUUCGGAUUGCAGGCUGCAACUCGCCUGCAUGAAGCUGGAAUCGCUAGUAAUGGCAUAUCAGAACGAUGCCGUGAAUACGUUCCCGGGCC